CUUAGUGCGGACGGGUGAGUAACGCGUGGGGAACCUGCCUUGCACCGGGGGAUAACACUUAGAAAUAGGUGCUAAUACCGCAUAAGCGCACAGAGCCGCAUGGCUCGGUGUGAAAAACUCCGGUGGUGCAAGAUGGACCCGCGUCUGAUUAGCUGGUUGGCGGGGUAACGGCCCACCAAGGCGACGAUCAGUAGCCGGCCUGAGAGGGUGAACGGCCACAUUGGGACUGAGACACGGCCCAAACUCCUACGGAAGGCAGCAG
rnacentral:rRNA from 1 species